CAGGACCCGCAGUCGCAAUAGGAGCUGCAGCCGCAUGCGGAGCUGCAGCCGCAUUAGAAACUGCAGUCACAUUAGGAGCAGCAGUUGCAUGAGGAGUCGUAGUCGCAAUAAGAGCUGCAGCCCCAUUAGGAGCAGCAGUCGCAUGUGGAGUCGCCGUCGCAAUAGGAGCUGCAGCCGCAUGAGUGGCAGUCGCUUUAGGAGCUGCGGCCUCACGAGUAGUCGAAGUCGCAUUAGGAGCCGCCGUCGCAUUAGAAGCUGCAGCCGCAUGCGGAGCCGCAGUCGCAUUAGAAGCUGCGACCGCAUGAGGAGUCGAAGUCAUAAUAGGAGCUGCAGACACAGUAGAAGCUGCAGUCGCAAUAGGAGCUGCGGUCGCAAUAGGAGCUGCGGUCGCAGCAGGAGCAGAAGCAGGGGCAGGACCAGGAGUGGAGACGGGGGAAGCUGGCGAGGCAGAGAACGUCGGCCAAAGCUUGAUGAGCAGCGGAAGGAUCCGGAAGGCUCUGCUCCUGCCCCAGGGUCAUCGUGUGAUCCCCCACAACAGCGACGGUGGCCACGCCCCCAGCGCUCCCCUUGCUCGGGGGGCCCUGUUACCCCCAGCUCUGUUGCCGUAGCGACGCCUGCUCACCUGCCUGACAGCACCACAGAGAGCUGGUUGGGUCCCUGUUCCGAUCGCGGUGAGGACAAGUCCCUCCACAAGGGGGCAGCACUGAAGCAGCGUUGUCAUGACUACAGUGACAAAGGCUUCGGCGUGCACGGUGACCUUUGCCCCUGUGACCAUGGCAACGACCCCUCGGCGGUGGACGACGUGACCUUGCCAGCAGCGAUGCCGUUCCCUCCCCCGCCAGGUGCGCCGCCCGCCGGAAUGGCCACACCC